UGGGGCCGGGAUCUGCAAGGAGAGAGAGGAUUCAGAGAAAGCCUUGCCUUCGAGUGGGAAAAGAGGAUGGGGGGGGGGGGGGGUUGUGCUGCCUAAAAGGAGGUCCUCCAUGGCUGAAGCAGCGGCUGCAGGGAGGAGGCAGCCAGGAAGCCGCCCCUAUAGACGUAGCUAUACUCCUCCAGGCUUCUGCAUAUAUAUUUCCACUGCUGUCUGCCUGUGCUGGAGUGGGAACGUGCGUCUCCGAAGCAGCACGGGGAUUAAUGGGCUGUAAGGAACAGGGCAGCUCUCGCCGCACCGUCCCUGUCCCAACCGGCAGCGGGUGCAGCCCUGGGACGGCCAAGCCCCGAGCCAGUUCUGCUCCAGCAGCUCCUCCGAAACAUCCCAGCUCAAAGCAAUUUUACAAGAAGCCUUCACUUCCAGGGAGUCUGACCUUUUCAUUAAUAAAUCAGCUGUGUUAUUGAA